GUACACCAGUCGCGAAACCUCCGCAAUGCGGGAAACCGCGACGGGGGACCCCGAGUGCCGUGGCAACGCCACGGCUUUUCCGGAGUGUAAAAAGCUCCGGGAAUAAGGGCUGGGCAAGGCCGGUGGCAGCCGCCGCGGUAAUACCGGCGGCCCGAGUGGUGGCCGCUAUUAUUGGGCCUAAAGCGUCCGUAGCCGGGCCCGUAAGUCCCUGGCGAAAUCCCACGGCUCAACCGUGGGGCUUGCUGGGGAUACUGCGGGUCUUGGGACCGGGAGAGGCGGGGGGUACCCCUGGGGUAGGGGUGAAAUCCUAUAAUCCCAGGGGGACCGCCAGUGGCGAAGGCGCCCCGCUGGAACGGGUCCGACGGUGAGGGACGAAGGCCAGGGGAGCAAGCCGGAUUAGAUACCCGCGUAGU
rnacentral:rRNA from 1 species